AUGGAAACUUCGAGAGAAAACCACCACACGGCUAUUUGUUCACCACCGACAGCCGGCUUAAAGAGUUCUGCUCUGUGUUGCCACUCCCCUCCCACGCUGCCUCCCUUGGGGGCGACGGAUCUAACUCCGCACAGCCCCAGGAAGCGGAGCGUACUCUUCCUGCUGAAGGAUGAGAAAAACGGGCUCCGUUCCUGCAUCAAGGUGUGGACAUCUCUGGGGAAGCAUUAUUCUGCCUACCCGACCAGCCAAAGCUUUGCUAUUCAACUGAUAAGACAAACGAGACCCAGACCAAAGGACACAAGGACAGCACGAGGAGGGGUUCGGACACGGACAUUGCAACCCCAUGGGCUGGAUUGGAGUUUGAAACCCAGCUCUCCCACUUCUCUGCCAUGUGGCACCCCCGGGUCUCCUCAGCUGUGACGAGGACCGAUGAAGAGAUGCUAUGGGAGUCACGUCUGGCUCAGAGUCCUGCUCGGGAAACAGCAUUGUAG
rnacentral:lncRNA from 1 species